GACGAACGCUGGCGGCGUGCUUAACACAUGCAAGUCGAACGGAAAGGCCCUGCUUUUGUGGGGUGCUCGAGUGGCGAACGGGUGAGUAACACGUGAGUAACCUGCCCUUGACUUUGGGAUAACUUCAGGAAACUGGGGCUAAUACCGGAUAGGAGCUCCUGCUGCAUGGUGGGGUUUGGAAAGUUUCGGCGGUUGGGGAUGGACUCGCGGCUUAUCAGCUUGUUGGUGGGGUAGUGGCUUACCAAGGCUUGGACGGGUAGCCGGCCUGAGAGGGUGACCGGCCACAUUGGGACUGAGAUACGGCCCAGACUCCUACGGGAGGCAGCAGUGGGGAAUAUUGCACAAUGGGCGGAAGCCUGAUGCAGCAACGCCGCGUGCGGGAUGACGGCCUUCGGGUUGUAAACCGCUUUCGCCUGUGACGAAGCGUGAGUGACGGUAAUGGGUAAAGAAGCACCGGCUAACUACGUG
rnacentral:rRNA from 1 species